GUUGCUGGUGCCUAGAAUGAGCUCAGUAAAUAUUAGCUGCCAUUAUUGCUGUUAGUAUGACAGAAACGCACAUUCAUGAGAGGGAAACAGUUAUGCUGUGCUGGACUGAGCCCGGAUGAGGAAUCAGAUUUAGAAACAUUGUCACUUGCCUCUAUCUCCUUCCAUUUUUAGUCAUUUUAGAUUUAAUUAGGGUAUUGAUAUUGAGUAGGUGAAAUGUACACAUCUGCAGAUCCAGGUAAGCAAAUCUAACAUUUUGUAUUUAACAGCUAAAUACCACUCAUAAAAUAUACUGUAAAUAUAGUCUUUUAGAAGUGUAUCCAAAACAUGGUUAAAUUAAUUUGCCAGUGGAUGUCAUUUACCCAACAGAUACCAGUUCAUCAUUUUCCACUAAGUAUUCAUGAGUGCCAACUAUGCUAGGUAUUGAAGAUUCAGGGAAAUAACACAGACCUUCCUUUAAGAGCUUUUGGAAGUGUUACAGGAAUUACCAACCUACCUAGACCAAUUCAUCCACUGUCUUGUUCUUGAAGAGUUCUGACAUGUAUUCUGAUCCACCUAUUAUUUGCAGAAGCUAUACCUACUGAGCAAAAAGACUUACUUUCAUCAUCUGAAUCAAAUCCAAAGAGUGUCUGACAUUUCUUUUGUGCAAGGUUCUUGAGGAGCAUUUACCUGAUGUUUUUGGAAAAAAAGAAAAAAUUCUGGAUUUGCCUGUUUAAAAUAAAGGGUGCAGUGUAAAAAUGAAAAAGUUA